CUCUAUCUGGAGAUCACCCCUCUUGGAGCCCUUCUGCAAGCCAGGCCAUGGGUGUAAAAGAGAACCACCACCAUCGCUACAUUUGUUGUAUGCACUGCGUAGAGUUCUUCCAAAUGGUACAAAGGAUGUGAACAAAAUGACUUCCUGUGUUAACACAUACUUCAAAUGUCAAGUUAGGUCCACCAGGAAAAAGCAUGCUUCAUUCAAAUGGAGGGACAGACACAGAACAGAAACCCAGAUCUGGAAUCUGGUGAGAACAGGAAGGGAAAAGAGAAAACCCAAACCCUGGGGCCGUGGAGGUGUUCACGCUGCUGCUUUGCCCUGUGUGCCUCUGCCUCCAUCGCGAGCGGCUCUUGUGGGGGGCUGGCAAACUCCUCCGAGGGAACAAAAGCAUCUCACAACGUCUGCGUUCAACUCAAACCACAUCUUCAGGGAUUCUGAGAAGGACUGAAUCCUACCAAGGAAGUUUUGCCAUUCUAUUUCCCCCUCAUCUCCAGUUACUUCCUGCCUUUUGCACAGCUUUGGGCUAGCCAGGUGCUUUCUAGGAGAGAAAAAUCAGAGCUGUUACCACUGUUCAGUCCCAACAACACUUCCACAGUCUGUUUGGGAUGAGGCCAUCUGGUGAAUCCCCACAACUCAGCCCCUUCACGGUGGUUUUGCACUGUGACCAGAGAUGACACACAACGGGAUGUAACCGCCUGCAUUUUGCAUGGAGGAAUGGGGAGGUGCAGUGCUCUGCCUGAGCACACAGUAAAUCUGUGGCGGAGCCAGAAGCCUUAAGAACGAGCCUUGUAUUCAAAGCAAAAUACCCUCCUUCUGCCAAGCCAAGAAAGAGUGAAAGGAGAGGGCAGCAGAUCAUUUCAUCCAUUGGAGGAGAAGGGGGUACAACGCCAUUCAUGGGCUGAUGAGCAGCCUGAGACUUAGCACUGUGGACCAUCCCCAGGGACCCAUUGCCAAUGCUGCUGUUGCAGAAGACACAAAGACACGUUUACUGUCUGAAGGAGAGGAUGCAGCCACAUCACUCCUCGGUCCGUCUGCCAACCGCUCCGUGGCCAAACGAUGCUAUGGAAAAUGAGCCCCUUGCCAACCCUAAAGGGAAGCUGUAUUGCUUCUUGCCAGGAGGAUGGAAAGAGCCAUGCAGCUGGCACAGGCUUCAUGCUUCUGAUACUGAUAGAACAAGUUCUUGUCAGGGUAGUGUCUGUGCAUUAGCUAUUGGUCAGAAGGCCUUGCUCAAGUCCUUCCACUUGAUGCUGAACAAGCCAACAUCAGAUGUUUGUCACCAAACCCAAUGCCCUGGCUCAAAGCAAAAGCAGUGAGGAAAGCUCCCAGCUGAACCCAACGUUACUCAGGAGAAAAGAGAAACUGUAAAGCAAACUGGAAGAAAAUGGAGCUGUGAGUGUGAACAUACACAGCUCUGUACCCCUGCAGGAUUAACAAAGGCUGGAACUGAAGACUGAGGACCAGUUCCCUGCAUGCUGCUGCUGUUCUGAUAACAUCUCUCAGAACUCCAAUCUUCGAAGACUAAUUUUAAUGACCUUGGUAGUAAGUUUGGAUUAUUACAGGUUAUUUUUUGUAUUCCAUUGUUCAGCUUCAGCAACAAGGUUAGUAUUUUAUCAUAUCCUCAAUUCAGACUGCUCAGUGACAAGUGCUGGGCCAUAUGUAUGCUUAAUCUUUUCCAGUGCCUGGAAAAAGUUUGACUUUCCCUAUGUUCAGCACAGUAACCUCAGUGUCUGUGGUGUGUUUUUCUCUGGUGAUGUACUAAGUGAAAGUGAAGCUCCCCAGCCAUGCUGCUCCCCACAGAGGGGGAUAUGAGCUGAGAACCACAGAUCUGAGACCUCUGUGUCCCAAGCAUGUUGGAGCUGGGGAAGGAGGGGAGAGGGCACUGCUGUGCAACAGCCUUCACACUGCUAAAAAUGCGUGUAUUUAACCCUCAUCAACAAUUGCUGCCAUUAAAUUCAGC
ensembl:lncRNA